GUUUGGUCUGAGAGAGUGUGUGGUGGACGUUCAGGGCCGGCUGCUGCAGGCCAGCUCCCUAUUUGAUGGAGAGCUACCAAUAGGCUUGAGGCCCAAAGAACCGGAAGUAGAGCUGCUGGAUCUCCUUCUCUGUGAUAUAAAUCCUCGGGGGAUGCAGGAGGAUGUGCUGCUCUCCUCCGUUGCACCGCUGGAGUCGUACAUGAGACCAUCCUGAGUUUUCUUCCUGCCGGAAACGACCUUCACCUCGGAGGGAACAAUGGACUUCAACGCCUGAAAUUUUAGACUGGACGUUUUAGGAUUCAUGUGGAGGAGUAAGCUUCUUUAAAGAGAACCACUCUUCAGAUAGGAUAAAGGAAAUAAGCACACUACAGUUUAGAGGAGGAGUCUGGAUUAAAGUCAAGAUGAUGUGGAGAACGAAUGAGGCCCUGCGGGAAAAGUUUCAGUGAAAUGAAAUGGGGAAAAAAAAUUACUUCUCGGAGUAGUUUUACUGCACCAUAAUUUUUACUUAACUUCUAAUAUUAUUUUGAGAGCUAAACUGCAUGUGAAUUUCUGCUUUGUGUUGGAUCUGUGGAACCAAUCCUUGAUCAGAAGGAGGUAGCCGACAAACUCCACCCUCCGUUUGGCAGCAAGGGCAUAAAUAUGGCAAGAGACACAGUUAUCCUUCACAGGCAACUUGGCUGAGCGAAAACCCCAUAUUUAUCUGUCAAAAACACGCUGAGCAGGACUGUAAGGAAGUCUCCAAACCUCACUGGUGGAGAACUGCAGCAAAGUGUGACAUUUUGUAGUCACCCAGUCUUCACAACAACCAUUAGACGCCAUCGACAAGCGAGCCCGUCAUUUGUGUGGCAUGAUACAAAACCCGGAUAAUGGAAAUGGACGAGUAGAAGAGAAACAUCAACAUGGCUGUCUGAAUCAAACAUGGCAAUAAACACAGCACAUAAA